rnacentral:tRNA from 1 species
ACCUGGGUGGCUCAGUCGGUUAAGCGUCUGACUUUGGCUCAGGUCAUGAUCUCACGGUUCGUGGGUUCAAGCCCCAUGUCAGGCU